GAGUUUGAUCUUGGCUCAGAUUGAACGCUGGCGGCAGGCCUAACACAUGCAAGUCGGACGGCAGCACGGGAGCUUGCUCCUGGUGGCGAGUGGCGAACGGGUGAGUAAUGCAUCGGAACGUAGUCCUGGAGUGGGGGAUAACGUAGCGAAAGUUACGCUAAUACCGCAUAUUCUGUGAGCAGGAAAGCGGGGGACCUUCGGGCCUCGCGCUCUUGGAGCGGCCGAUGUCGGAUUAGCUAGUUGGUGAGGUAAAGGCUCACCAAGGCGACGAUCCGUAGCAGGUCUGAGAGGAUGAUCUGCCACACUGGAACUGAGACACGGUCCAGACUCCUACGGGAGGCAGCAGUGGGGAUUUGGACAAUGGGGCAACCCUGAUCCAGCCAUGCCGCGUGAGUGAAGAAGGCC
rnacentral:rRNA from 1 species